rnacentral:lncRNA from 1 species
AUGCAUGGCUGGAGAGGCUUAAAAUGAAGGCUGUUUUCCAGGAAGAACAUAUAAAUAUAGGUGGGGGCAGGGCUUAAUUUUCUGCAGAUUAUUCUCCCCAUGUAGUGUUGCAGUAAUGAUAAAUGUGUGCACAGUCCUUUUAAUGACCAAUAGCUGCAGCGGUAACUAUUGCUUUUGUCCAAAAGAAAAGCAAAUGCCAUUAUUUAGCAGACAAAUGACCAUGCAGAGAGGUCUGAACAGUUCCUGAAUCUCCUUAAUUUCUAGAGAACUUGUCAUGCAUUACCAUUUUUUAAACACAUCCCAUUCUGUUAUCAUUGUUUUUAGCUGUACAGUUUUAACUUUCCAUUUGUUUUUCAAUAGCUCCACACUAACAGCAAAUUGAUGUCAUCCAUGGUGAAGAAAUAGGAAGACACUCUCCUCCAUUAACUUGAUGAUGAGAGGUGAUUUCAAAUGACAGCGGCGCCAAGAACAAGCCAGAGUCUCAAGGUUCUGCAAGCCAACAGAAGUGGGGAGGAUACUGCAGUGGUGGUGGUACCCAGGGAGGGGACAGGGCCGUGGCUGUCACUCAGCUUCUUGAGGGCUCCAUUCACAUGUAAGAAGCUUCAGACAACAUUAAAUCUUGAAACAUUUGCCACUGCAAGAAUGAACGCAAAAUGUCAUGACUCAGGAUGGCCACUUUGCUUUUGUUGUGGUGCUCAUGCUGAGAAGGCAUCCAAAACCAAGUUUGUCUUGUAAGAAAUGAUUUCAACAUCAGUCCCAUGGCAAUUGUAUUUUAAAAC